rnacentral:lncRNA from 1 species
UUCCCAGUCUAGGGGUUGAAUCAGAGCUGUAGCUGCUGACCUACACCACAGCCACAGCAACGCCAGAUCCAAGCUGAGUCUUCCACCUACACCACAGCUCAUGGCAACUCCGAAUCUUUAACCCCUGAGAUGGGCCAGAGAUAGAGCCUUACGGAUACUAGUUGGAUUCAUUUCUGCUGAGCCAUGGUGCAGGAACUCCCCAUUCAAAUUUAAACAUAUAUUUACAAGCAAGUGGGAUAUAAGAUACAACUCUGUGUACAAAAUAAUAUUCACAAUAAUUUGGAGCGUGAUAAUAUUAGUGUGUUUAAUAAUUUUCAGUGCAAUAACAUUAGUGUGUUUUUCCUUCAUGAAUGAUUUUCUUCAGUGUUCCACCAAGGAUGUCUGUCCCUACACAUAUGAGUUACCUCAUGCUUGGAGGUAAGGGGAACACAGAGGAACCUGAAAACCAAAAGGGCAUAUUCUUUUUUUUUUUUUCUUUCCUUUUGUAGCCAGACCUGUAACAUAUGGAAGUUCCCAGGAGGCUAGGGGUCCACUCAGAUCUGCAGCUGCCAGUCUAUGCCACAGCCACAACAACAACAGACCUGAGCCUCAUCUUGGGCUCUUCCUGCCACUAGACUGGACUAAAGACUCUGGUUGGGAGAAGAGAAGAGGAGGGACCCCAUGACAGAAACAGAGAUGGAACAACCCCGGACAUCUGCCUGGAGCAGGUGCUAUCAAUCACCAGCUAAGUGGAAACCUGGCUCCCUCACUGCCCUCUGCUGAUAGUGACCAAUCAAUAGCAACUUCCACAUCACCCAGGAGUUGCCCAGGAGAGGAGGUGUUCAUUUCACCUCUGUCCCAAGAGUUUUCCCAGCUCCUCAUCCAACCCACUCCAUGUCAGAAACGGUCCAGAGCACUUGAAGGGCCACACACACACACACACACACACCCCACACACACAUACACACCUGUACUAAGUAGAAAAUAGUGUCCUGCAGACACAAGGGUAGUGUAGGGGUUAUCCCCACAUAUGUUUGAGGUGAGACUAGAUAGAACCAGUAUAAAAUUUCCCACCAAGCUAGCACUGGGGCACAUGGGACACUCAUAAACACACACACAGAUAUUCACCUCCAUGCCUACCCCUUAUAUUUAUACCCCUUGGACUUCAUAUAGAGCUUCACAAACUACAUUAAUAAACCAAAGGCAAGUUUUUAGAGAGAAAAAAACUCACCUUCUUCAAAAAUACAAUAGAAUAUUUACUCUGAAGAACUGACUUAGAAUAAUAUCAAGGUCUCAUCUGAAGUAGUUAUUAUAAUAAAAAUUCUGAGUACAUCCUCCUUAUUUAUCAAAUGUUUGGCACACUUUAUUGAGAUCAAGGAGCACUUCUGGAGCCAGAGGAUGCCGGGCACAGAAGGGCUAAACACUGACACCCACUGACUUGGUGGGGGAGGGGGUGUUGGAUGGUGUUAGACAAUGCCCGAGCAUCAGUGUUUCUGCCCAACAAGGGAUCUGCUUUCUAUUUAUUCAUACUCCAAUCCUUCUGGCAAGAGGCAAGCAGGAUUAAACCCAUUUCACAUCUCUGCAGCAAGAGCUGAGCACAAUAAUGACUGACCAAAGCCUGGACCAUAAAGAUGAGGUAAAGGCAGAGGGGGCAAAAUCCUGCAAGUAUAUGAACAGCCCAAGUCCUAAGGGAGUAGGGAAAAUGAAGUGAGCUGCACAGCCACGCACGUUGGAGAAAUCAAACAUCACUCUUUCACUUGACCAUUAAUUCCUAGGCACGCUCAUGCUUCAGGAAUACUGCACUGUGGGAACAGAAGUCACACCAUCAGCAGCUGUUGCCCUCAUAGAGGUUAGUAUCAAGUACAAACGACACAGUCAGCAAAGCAAUUACAAUACUGUGGAAUAUAAGCUGGUGGGCAGGGCAGGCCUCCCUGGAGCGCCCUGUUAUGGAAACACCCUGGAGAUAGACAGGACAUAGUGCAGGGUGGAGAGUGGCAGGUAAGGACACUUACCUUCAGAAGUAACUUCUAAGCUGACGCCUAAAGGAUAAGUAAGUGUUUUGCAAGUAAAGGCGAUUUGAUGAGUGAAUCAGGCAAUUGGAACACUCAGAGCUUUGACACUAGAGGACCAAGAGGAAGAGCAAAUCCGUGGACAUAUAUGGUUAUGUCCCACAAUUUUGUGGGUUUGAUGUUGAUGCCUUUGUUGCUGUUGUUCAUUACGGCCCACGAUGAAGGUUUCACAUGAAAAUUCAGAUUUCUGACUUCUCUUGAAAUUCCCUCUAGUAACAGUUGGCUAGAACUGAACAUGAUUGCUCCUUUAAACUGAGCCUGAUUUGCCCCA